rnacentral:rRNA from 1 species
CAGCAGUAGGGAAUCUUUUGCAAUGGGGGACAGUCUGGCGGAGCAACGCCGCGUGAACGAUGAAGGCCUUCGGGUCGUUAAGUUCUGUUGUUAGGGAAGAACAAGUACCGUUCUAACACGUCGGUACCUUGACGGUACCUAACGAGAAAGCCCCGGCUAACUACGUGCCAGCAGCCGCGGUAAUACGUAGGGGGCGAGCGUUGUCCUGAAUUAUUGGGCGUAAAGCGCGCGCAGGCGGUGUUUUAAGUCAGAUGUGAAAUCCCACGGCUCAACCCUGGAGGGUCAUUUGUAACUGGGAGACUUGAGUGCAGAAGAGGGGAGUGGAAUUCCAUGUGUAGCGGUGAAAUGCGUAGAUAUAUGGAGGAACACCCGUGGCGAAGGCGACUCUCUGGUCUGUAACUGACGCUCAGGCGCGAAAGCGUGGGGAGCAAACAGGAUUAGAUACCCUGGUAGUCCACGCCCUAAACGAUGAGUGCUAGGUGUUAGGGGUUUCCAU